AUUAGGACAUCCUGGUUAUUGUUCUUAUGUGCUUCCAGCCUUUCUGUUUUAAGGAAAAUAAAGGACAAAGACCAUGUCUGAAUCAAAGAUUAAGGAACAUACAUUGUCUCUAGGCAUGUGUUCUGCUGGACCACGCAUGCAAAAAUGUCUGGUUUCCUCUUAUUUGUGACUCAGCACUCUGCGUGUUCGCGUGAAUGUAUGGUUGCGAAUGUGUGUGGCAGCAGGAGGUGGAGGCCACCAAGAUGUCCAUCUGUGGAGAAGAGAUGAGCCCAUGCAACGGAGGCACAGUGACUCAAAGUCUAUAGAAGGGUACCCUUAAGGAUAACACAAUGAGUGAAUGUCAAGCAGCAGCACAUUCUCCACGCUGGUAUUUUUCACAUGUACUUACUAAUAACCCUGUACAUCUGGGUCUGUUGGGAUACACGAUGAUGGAUUUCUGAUCUACUUUGCGUAGGAACCAUAGUGGCAGCUUCUUCUCUAAGCUGGACCUGCCAGAUAUUCUCUCUCAGGGUCCUGGGGAGGAUGGCAAGCAGCCCCCCUUGGUGGAUCUAGCGGGACCCAUUGCCCAUGGCUUCUCUGGGCUCAGGGAGCAUCUCCACCUCCUCUAACUGGCAGGUUUUCCGUGUUGAAGGUAAGAGCACUCUGUGCAUUUCCUUUUGUGAUUUGCGGCCUGGACGUGAACGUCUGUGGAGUGUCUACAGCUGCCAGCCUGUGCUGGACGUGUGGUCACCAAAUGUUAAAAACUAAAC